UACAUACUCCCUCCGUCCGGAAAUACUUGUCAUCAAAAUGAAUAAAAGGGGAUGUAUCUAGAUGUAUUUUAGUUCUAGAUACAUCCCUUUUUGUUCAUUUUGAUGACAAGUAUUUUCGGACGGAGGGAGUAGUAA
rnacentral:pre_miRNA from 1 species